AACAAACGCUGGCGGCGUGCCUAAUACAUGCAAGUCGAACGGGGAAAGUAGCAAUACGAGUACUAGUGGCGCACGGGUGAGGAAUACAUGGGUAAUCUGCCCUCGAGCUCGGGAUAACCAGUCGAAAGACUGGCUAAUACCGGAUAUGACCACAAGAUCUGAGGAUCAAGGGGUAAAAGGUUUUUCGCUUGAGGAUGAGCCCAUGUGGGAUUAGCUAGUUGGUGUAGGUAACGGCUCACCAAGGCGACGAUCCCUAACUGGUCUUAGAGGAUGAUCAGUCACACUGGAACUGAGACACGGUCCAGACUCCUACGGGAGGCAGCAGUAGGGAAUAUUGCACAAUGGAGGAAACUCUGAUGCAGCGACGCCGCGUGAGUGAUGAAGGCCUUCGGGUCGUUAAAGCUCUGUCGUAUGGGACUAAC
rnacentral:rRNA from 1 species